GUGUUGGGGUGUUUUGUGAUUGAGGCGCGGAUGUGGAGGUGGUUUAGGGAUACCCUGUUGGCUGCCGUUUGAGGUGGCAGAGGGGAAUCCUUUCGAGAGCAUUAAUGGCCCUGGGUCCUGCCUUCGCGCGGAGGAGGCCUCGUUCCCGAGAUCAGGCCUGACCGGGAUAAGCCCCAGUCCUGCCUCAGUCUCCCGAGUCCUGGAAUUACAGUUUGAAGUGACAGCUUUUUUCUUGGGGGGAUCUUGCAAGGAUAUUUUGUCACCCUUCCAUUCCAUGACGAAAUGAUUCUUCAGGCUUAGAAAGAGUAAGAUGUGUCUGUAAUUCAGAUUACUUCAUCUUUGGUGUUUUUCAGCCCAGGAUCAUUCAUUCUAUGUAACCAAUACUG